GUAAGGAAUAUUGGGCAAUGGAGGCAACUCUGACCCAGCCAUGCCGCGUGGAGGAUGAAGGCCCUCUGGGUUGUAAACUUCUUUUAUAUGGGACGAAAAAGGGCCUUUCUAGGUCAACUGACGGUACCAUUUGAAUAAGCACCGGCUAACUCCGUGCCAGCAGCCGCGGUAAUACGGAGGGUGCAAGCGUUAUCCGGAUUUACUGGGUUUAAAGGGUGCGUAGGUGGAUUGGUAAGUCAGUGGUGAAAUCUCCGGGCUUAACUCGGAAACUGCCAUUGAUACUAUCAGUCUUGAAUAUUGUGGAGGUCAGCGGAAUAUGUCAUGUAGCGGUGAAAUGCUUAGAUAUGACAUAGAACACCAAUUGCGAAGGCAGCUGGCUACGCAUAUAUUGACACUGAGGCACGAAAGCGUGGGGAUCAAACAGGAUUAGAAACCCCUGUAGUCC
rnacentral:rRNA from 1 species